ensembl:lncRNA
ACGUUUUUGCAGUAGAUGGGUACAGCAGUAAGGUCGUUGCCCAUGCAACCAUGCCUGUCAAGAAUAACCUCACGAUAUAUGAGGAAGUUUACAGAUCAGCAGUUCUUGAAGAUGGGAUGUGGGACCAGGUCAGGGUGGACCAUGGCCGUGAGUUUUACUUGUCCCUCUACAUGCAGGAGAUGCUGUCUAACCACAGACACAACUUGCAAAGGUAACCAUAUCGCCAAACUCAGUCAACAAAGAAUCAUACAGUAGAGCGAAUGUGGGUAGAGAUAAAUAACAGGGUAAAUUAUUCAGUGAAGGAGGCCCUCAUGCAGCUGCAGGAUCAGGAAGUCCUCAACAUGGACGACAACGUGACUAGAUGCUGCACAUCUAACCUUACUGCUGAGCUGUGCAAGAUUGGCAUAACAAGAGCUGUACAUGCAUCAAAUGCACACAGAAUCCCAGAUGUUCAGAGGGAGAUGAUGCCACAUCUGGUCCAGCUGAUGGAAGGUCUUGAAGUUCUCUGACUGGCCUCGACUGAAGAUGGUCGUCUCACUGGAUUUAAGAUGCACAAUGAGGGACGUCUGCAGAGACUGAGAAAGAGUCUCACCACAUCCUGACAUGAGGAAAAAGACUUUAUUGAAGACUGCAAUGAGAAAAACUAUCAGACAGCAGACGGCUGCAUUCAAGUCUGUAGCUGCUGAAUUCAUGGAUGAAUCAUCUGGCACUAGAGAAGAACACCAUCAAACAUCCACGUCAGCUGAUGGAGGUCCAAGAGUCUCACCGAACAACCAACCUACAGAGUGAAGACCUCAAAUCUGAUUGGACGGCCUCCUAUUCAGCCACAUUUUAGGCUGUUAGAUUGUUCCAGAUAAGACAAGUACAAGAUACUUCAGAGCCGUUCUACCAGGAGCCUGACAGGAAGAACUCCAACAGCUACUGAAUGUUCCUGUGGUCCCCUCAAGGCUACAGGAGGAGCCCUACGAGGACGAGCCGGUCCACCUGAUGGCGGCCAGUCGCUGCGGUUCAAAGCCAACACCGACUACGUAGACUUCUACUGGACCACACGGAGGCCUUCAAACCGGACCAACAAGUUCCCCGACUCCUCGACUCGUGGGUCUGAGGACGCUGCCGAGCCUCGGUCCAGCCGGCCUCCUGUCUGUGGGUGUUUGAUUGCUGAGAGGUUUGUGGAUGCAUGUGAACGUUCUGUGUUGAAACAGCAGCUUUUGACUCAGUAACGCCGGGAAAAACCAAGAGCGCCUUUAUUUGUGACUUCCACUAAAAAAACUGAUGAAAAUAAGUUUGCCAGGGUUCUGACUGAUAACAGAUUAUUAAAUAAUGAAAAUAAUCCUUUAAAUAUUCCUUUAAACAAUCCUUUUAGGUCUACAUUUCCUUUGCACUGACUUCUUGGUAUAUGUACAAGUAUUUUGGGUGGAAUAUACCAUUAAGCCCGAUGUUCAAGGGUUCUUCUGGGAAUAUACCAUUAAACCAACCUUUUAGGUAAAUGUUCCAGGAUGUUGGGUAGAAUAUACCAUCAGAUAAACCUUUUAGGUCUACAUUGGAAGAUUUUAGAGUAGAAUAUUACUCCAAACCAUCCUUUAGGUCUACAUUUAAGGUGGAAUACUCCUUUACUCCAAGAUUUUUUGGUCUACAUUUAAGGAUUUUAGGUGGAAUAUUCCUUUGAACGAACUUUUUAAGUUUAUGUUAAAGGAUGUUGGGUGGAAUAUACCAUCAGGCCAACCUCCAAGGUCUACAGUAGUGAAUUUUAGGUGGAAUAUACCAUUAAACUCACCUUUUAGGUCUACAUUGGAGCAUUUUAGGUGGAAUUUUCUUCCAAACUGUCUUUUAGUCUACAUUUAAGGAUGUUUAGGAUGGUAUAUUCUUCCAAACCAACUUCUCAGGUCUACAUUUCAGGUGGAAUAUUCCUCCAUAUUAACUUUUUUGGUCUACAUUGAAGGAUUUUUUCUAAACCACCCUUUCGGGUCUAUAUUUGAGGUUUUAGGUGGAAUAUUCCUUUUAACCAGCCCCUCAGGUCUCUUUGAGGAUUUUGGAUGGAAUACUCGGUUAAACCAACAUUUUAGGUGCAUGUACAAGGAUUUUUGGUGGAAUGUUCCUUUAAGGUGGAUGUUUGAGGAACUUGUAGGUGGAAUACUUCCUGAAACCAACCUUUUAGGUCAACAUUCAAAGAUUUAAGGUGGAAUAUUCCUUUAAACCAACCUAAAUUUCAUGUUUUGAUCAUUAUCAAGUGAGAAACCUUAAUCCAGACUCCUCAUAAUGACAUUUGAGAUUUAUGCUGCUGUUAUUUGUUUAGUCCAGAUGAAAUGACAGAAAUCC